GAAAGAUGGCUUUGGCUAUCACUCUGGGAUGGACCUGCGGUGCAUUAGCUAGUUGGUAAGGUAACGGCUUACCAAGGCGAUGAUGCAUAGCCGAGUUGAGAGACUGAUCGGCCACAAUGGAACUGAGACACGGUCCAUACUCCUACGGGAGGCAGCAGUAGGGAAUCUUCCACAAUGGGCGCAAGCCUGAUGGAGCAACACCGCGUGAGUGAAGAAGGGUUUCGGCUCGUAAAGCUCUGUUGUUGGAGAAGAACGUGCGUGAGAGUAACUGUUCACGCAGUGACGGUAUCCAACCAGAAAGUCACGGCUAACUACGUGCCAGCAGCCGCGGUAAUACGUAGGUGGCAAGCGUUAUCCGGAUUUAUUGGGCGUAGAGCGAGCGCAGGCGGUUGCUUAGGUCUGAUGUGAAAGCCUUCGGCUUAACCGAAGAAGUGCAUCGGAAACCGGGCGACUUGAGUGCAGAAGAGGACAGUGGAACUCCAUGUGUAGCGGUGGAAUGCGUAGAUAUAUGGAAGAACAUCAGUGGCGAAGGCGGCUGUCUGGUCUGCAACUGACGCUGAGGCUCGAAAGCAUGGGUAGCGAACAGGAUUAGAUACCCUGGUAGUCCAUGCCGUAAACGAUGAGUGCUGGGUGUUGGAGGGUUUCCGCCCUUCA
rnacentral:rRNA from 1 species